GACGAACGCUGGCGGCGUGCCUAACACAUGCAAGUGGAGCGACGAACCAGGCUUCGGCCUGGGGCAAAGCCGCGAACGGGUGAGUAACACGUGGGUAACCUGCCCUGAUGAUUGGGACAACCCGAGGAAACUCGGGCUAAUACCAAAUGUGCCCUUCGGCCACAAGGCCGCUGGGGAAAGGAAGCUUCGGCCUCCGCAUCUGGAUGGGCCCGCGGCCCAUUAGCUUGUUGGUGAGGUAACGGCUCACCAAGGCGACGAUGGGUAGCUGGUCUGAGAGGACGAUCAGCCACACUGGGACUGAGACACGGCCCAGACUCCUACGGGAGGCAGCAGUGGGGAAUCUUGCGCAAUGCGCGAAAGCGUGACGCAGCAACGCCGCGUGGGGGAAGACGGCCUCGGUUG
rnacentral:rRNA from 1 species